UACAGAGGUCCCGAGCGUUGUUCGGAUUCACUGGGCGUAAAGGGUGCGUAGGUGGCUUGAAAAGUUUGAUGUGAAAGCUCAGGGCUUAACCCUGAAAUGGCAUUGAAUACUGUCGGGCUGGAGGUUUGGAGGGGGGACUGGAAUUCCCGGUGUAGCGGUGAAAUGCGCAGAUAUCGGGAAGAACACCCGUGGCGAAGGCGGCUCUCUGGGACGGAACUGACGCUGAGGUGCGAAAGCGUGGGGAGCAAACAGG
rnacentral:rRNA from 1 species